rnacentral:misc_RNA from 1 species
GUAGGUAAGUUAUCACCAAAUAUCCUCGCUCUUGGUGGCCACAGUCGCUAAUCUAUCUUCCAGGUGAACCUGCGGAAGGAUCAUUACAGUGUUCAGGCUUCGGCCUCAUUCACACCCCUUGUUGAACCUCUGGUUUCUUUGGCGAUGUCAUGGACUCGUCAAACUUUAAACUCUGAAAAUGCGAUACUGUCCGAGUGAGAUUGAA